UACGUAGGGUGCGAGCGUUAAUCGGAAUUACCGGGCGUAAAGCGUGCGCAGGCGGUUCUGAAAGUCAGCUGUGAAAGCCCCGGGCUUAACCUGGGAAUUGCGGUUGAAACUACAGGGCUAGAAUCUGGCAGAGGGGGGUGGAAUUCCACGUGUAGCAGUGAAAUGCGUAGAGAUGUGGAGGAACACCGAUGGCGAAGGCAGCCCCCUGGGCUGAGAUUGACGCUCAGGCACGAAAGCGUGGGGAGCAAACAGG
rnacentral:rRNA from 1 species